CCUGCUUUUCUUCGUGUUCACAGCGGACCUUGAUUUAAAUGUCCAUACAAUUAAGGCACGCGGUGAAUGCCAAGAGAGAUGGC
ensembl:miRNA mir124-2 microRNA 124-2